GACGACCCGAGGAAAAAUCACCUGUCUCAGCAAUCCUAUCUAACUUUCUAUGAGAGUCAAAAAGCUCUCUCCCUCUAAUGGGACGACAAGACCCUAUAAAACUUUACUCUUUUACUUACCUUUUUUUAACCCUAUUUAAGUUGUAGAGUUGUACUGGGGCGGUAAAUUUUAAUUCAAACAAAGAUCAUAGAAACGUUUUCAACGACUCCUACAAACACUAAUCAGUAAUAAAGAACAAGUUACUUUAGGGAUAACAGCGCAAUACCCCUUCAGAGCCCUUAUCGACAGGGGUGUUUACGACCUCGAUGUUGAAUUGAAGCCCCUUUAUAGAGCAGCCUCCAUAAAAGGAAGUCUGUUCGACUUUUAAUCCUUCACAUGAUCUGAGUUCAAACCGGA
rnacentral:rRNA from 1 species